GGGUUGUGAGGUUAAGCGACUAAGCGUACACGGUGGAUGCCCUGGCAGUCAGAGGCGAUGAAGGACGUGCUAAUCUGCGAUAAGCGUCGGUGAGGUGAUAUGAACCGUUAUAACCGGCGAUUUCCGAAUGGGGAAACCCAGUGUGUUUCGACACACUAUCAUUAACUGAAUCCAUAGGUUAAUGAGGCGAACCGGGGGAACUGAAACAUCUAAGUACCCCGAGGAAAAGAAAUCAACCGAGAUUCCCCCAGUAGCGGCGAGCGAACGGGGAGGAGCCCAGAGCCUGAAUCAGUGUGUGUGUUAGUGGAAGCGUCUGGAAAGGCGUGCGAUACAGGGUGACAGCCCCGUACACAAAAAUGCACAUAUUGUGAGCUCGAUGAGUAGGGCGGGACACGUGGUAUCCUGUCUGAAUAUGGGGGGACCAUCCUCCAAGGCUAAAUACUCCUGACUGACCGAUAGUGAACCAGUACCGUGAGGGAAAGGCGAAAAGAACCCCGGCGAGGGGAGUGAAAAAGAACCUGAAACCGUGUACGUACAAGCAGUGGGAGCCUCUUAAUGGGGUGACUGCGUACCUUUUGUAUAAUGGGUCAGCGACUUAUAUUCUGUAGCAAGGUUAACCGAAUAGGGGAGCCGAAGGGAAACCGAGUCUUAACUGGGCGUUAAGUUGCAGGGUAUAGACCCGAAACCCGGUGAUCUAGCCAUGGGCAGGUUGAAGGUUGGGUAACACUAACUGGAGGACCGAACCGACUAAUGUUGAAAAAUUAGCGGAUGACUUGUGGCUGGGGGUGAAAGGCCAAUCAAACCGGGAGAUAGCUGGUUCUCCCCGAAAGCUAUUUAGGUAGCGCCUCGUGAAUUCAUCUCCGGGGGUAGAGCACUGUUUCGGCAAGGGGGUCAUCCCGACUUACCAACCCGAUGCAAACUGCGAAUACCGGAGAAUGUUAUCACGGGAGACACACGGCGGGUGCUAACGUCCGUCGUGAAGAGGGAAACAACCCAGACCGCCAGCUAAGGUCCCAAAGUCAUGGUUAAGUGGGAAACGAUGUGGGAAGGCCCAGACAGCCAGGAUGUUGGCUUAGAAGCAGCCAUCAUUUAAAGAAAGCGUAAUAGCUCACUGGUCGAGUCGGCCUGCGCGGAAGAUGUAACGGGGCUAAACCAUGCACCGAAGCUGCGGCAGCGACACUAUGUGUUGUUGGGUAGGGGAGCGUUCUGUAAGCCUGUGAAGGUGGCCUGUGAGGGUUGCUGGAGGUAUCAGAAGUGCGAAUGCUGACAUAAGUAACGAUAAAGCGGGUGAAAAGCCCGCUCGCCGGAAGACCAAGGGUUCCUGUCCAACGUUAAUCGGGGCAGGGUGAGUCGACCCCUAAGGCGAGGCCGAAAGGCGUAGUCGAUGGGAAACAGGUUAAUAUUCCUGUACUUGGUGUUACUGCGAAGGGGGGACGGAGAAGGCUAUGUUGGCCGGGCGACGGUUGUCCCGGUUUAAGCGUGUAGGCUGGUUUUCCAGGCAAAUCCGGAAAACCAAGGCUGAGGCGUGAUGACGAGGCACUACGGUGCUGAAGCGACAAAUGCCCUGCUUCCAGGAAAAGCCUCUAAGCAUCAGGUAACAUCAAAUCGUACCCCAAACCGACACAGGUGGUCAGGUAGAGAAUACCAAGGCGCUUGAGAGAACUCGGGUGAAGGAACUAGGCAAAAUGGUGCCGUAACUUCGGGAGAAGGCACGCUGAUAUGUAGGUGAAGCGACUUGCUCGUGGAGCUGAAAUCAGUCGAAGAUACCAGCUGGCUGCAACUGUUUAUUAAAAACACAGCACUGUGCAAACACGAAAGUGGACGUAUACGGUGUGACGCCUGCCCGGUGCCGGAAGGUUAAUUGAUGGGGUUAGCGGUAACGCGAAGCUCUUGAUCGAAGCCCCGGUAAACGGCGGCCGUAACUAUAACGGUCCUAAGGUAGCGAAAUUCCUUGUCGGGUAAGUUCCGACCUGCACG
rnacentral:rRNA from 1 species